CGCGGCUCUGGCGCCGGAAGCGGGGAGGUGACGAAGGGACGUCGCGUCGCCGCGCCGGGUCUCGAGCAGCUGCCAGAGCCGCCGGACGGACCGCCGCCCCCGCCGCGCCAUGGCCGAGAGUGACUGGGACACCGUGACGGUGCUGCGCAAGAAGGGCCCCACGGCCGCACAGGCCAAGUCUAAGCAGGCCAUCUUAGCAGCUCAGCGACGAGGAGAAGAUGUGGAGACAUCCAAGAAAUGGGCUGCUGGCCAGAACAAGCAGCAUUCCA